UAGGGAAUCUUCGGCAAUGGGGGGAACCCUGACCGAGCAACGCCGCGUGAGUGAAGAAGGUUUUCGGAUCGUAAAGCUCUGUUGUUAAGGAAGAACGAGUGUGAGAAUGGAAAGUUCAUACUGUGACGGUACUUAACCAGAAAGGGACGGCUAACUACGUGCCAGCAGCCGCGGUAAUACGUAGGUCCCGAGCGUUGUCCGGAUUUAUUGGGCGUAAAGCGAUCGCAGGCGGUUAGAUAAGUCUGAAUGUAAAGGCAGUGGCUCAACCAUUGUAGGCUUUGGAAACUGUUUAACUUGAGUGCAGAAGGGGAGAGUGGAAUUCCAUGUGUAGCGGUGAAAUGCGUAGAUAUAUGGAGGAACACCGGUGGCGAAAGCGGCUCUCUGGUCUGUAACUGACGCUGAGGCUCGAAAGCGUGGGGAGCGAACAGG
rnacentral:rRNA from 1 species